AGAGCGUCAGACUGAAGAUCUGAAGGUCCCUGUUCAAUCCCGGGUCUAGGCAAACUUUUGUAUUUUUUAUCA
rnacentral:tRNA from 1 species